UUGAGCCGUAUGAGGGGAAAUUCUCACGUACGGUUCUUAGGGGGGGGAUGGGCCAGCAAUGGCCUGUCCCUACCCGAC
rfam:Azotobacter vinelandii DJ, complete genome.